GUAGGUGGCAAGCGUUGUCCGGAAUUAUUGGGCGUAAAGCGCGCGCAGGUGGUUCUUUAAGUCUGAUGUGAAAGCCCCCGGCUCAACCGGGGAGGGUCAUUGGAAACUGGGGAACUUGAGUGCAGGAGAGGAAAGUGGAAUUCCACGUGUAGCGGUGAAAUGCGUAGAUAUGUGGAGGAACACCAGUGGCGAAGGCGACUUUUCUGGCCUGUAACUGACACUGAGGCGCGAAAGCGUGGGGAGCAAACAGGGAUUAGAUACCCUGGUAGUCCACGCCGUAAACGAUGAGUGCUAAGUGUUGGGGGGGUUUCCGCCCCCUCAGUGCUGCAGCUAACGCAUUAAGCACUCCGCCUGGGAGUACGGUCGCAAGACUG
rnacentral:rRNA from 1 species